AGUGAACGCUGGCGGUAGGCCUAACACAUGCAAGUCGAACGGCAGCACAGUAAGAGCUUGCUCUUACGGGUGGCGAGUGGCGGACGGGUGAGGAAUACAUCGGAAUCUACUUUUUCGUGGGGGAUAACGUAGGGAAACUUACGCUAAUACUGCAUACGACCUACGGGUGAAAGCAGGGGAUCUUCGGACCUUGCGCGAUUGAAUGAGCCGAUGUCGGAUUAGCUAGUUGGCGGGGUAAAGGCCCACCAAGGCGACGAUCCGUAGCUGGUCUGAGAGGAUGAUCAGCAACCUUGGAAAUGAGACACGGUCCAAACUCCGAGGGGAGGCAGAAGGGGGGAAUUUUGGACAAUGGGGGCAAGCCUGAUCCAGCCAUACCGGGGGGGUGAAGAAGGCCUUCGGGUUGUAAAGCCCUUUUUUUGGGAAAAAAAAGCAGCAGGUUAAAACCCCGCUGUUUUGACGGUACCCAAAGAAUAAGCACCGGCGAACUUCGU
rnacentral:rRNA from 1 species